CGGGGAGUACCUCAGUUGGUUAGAGGGGUGGUUUUGGGUGCCACCAGCCGCGGGUUCGAGUCCCGCCUCCCCGACCC
rnacentral:tRNA from 1 species